rnacentral:rRNA from 1 species
CCUACGGCGGCUGCAGUGGGGAAUAUUGGGCAAUGGGCGCAAGCCUGACCCAGCAACGCCGCGUGAAGGAAGAAGGCUUUCGGGUUGUAAACUUCUUUUCUCAGGGACGAAGCAAGUGACGGUACCUGAGGAAUAAGCCACGGCUAACUACGUGCCAGCAGCCGCGGUAAUACGUAGGUGGCAAGCGUUAUCCGGAUUUACUGGGUGUAAAGGGCGUGUAGGCGGGAAAGCAAGUCAGAUGUGAAAACCACGGGCUCAACCUGUGGCCUGCAUUUGAAACUGUUUUUCUUGAGUACUGGAGAGGCAGACGGAAUUCCUUGUGUAGCGGUGAAAUGCGUAGAUAUAAGGAGGAACACCAGUGGCGAAGGCGGUCUGCUGGACAGCAACUGACGGUGAGGCGCGAAAGCGUGGGGAGCAAACAGGAUUAGAUACCCCUGUAGUC